CGAAAUUGCCGCCGCGCUUGUGCCAAGGAGAGCGACGAUUUUAUUCGAUUUUAUUCAAAUUUACGGCGCGACGAUGGCUAUAUAUCUACCCAUUAUAUCUACCUAUCCAUGACCGUUGUCGGGAAGAGAAAAUAUACGUAGUACGUGCGCCUGUGCGACCGCAGUUUAUAAAUAGAGCUCUUAUCCUGAAACGGCAGCCUUGUCAGACCCCGUAUCAAGCAAUAAUCAUGAUAUACUUCGCAUCAGCUUGGACUGAACUAUUUUAUAGUAUUUAUUCCAUAAAAAAUAUGAGCAUUUUGCUAUGCAAUAACUGCUACGAUAUUCGUAAGAAGACCUGAGUCGUUUUGAUUUCUGAGAAGUAAAGAUGAAAAACGGAAGCUGCCCUGCUUCGCUCCACUUUGAAAUUUAUAUAAUAGGGCGACUUAAGGGCAAAUAAAGGAAGAAAUUAAAAAUGAUUUCUACCCUCCACGGUACAUCUGGGUCUUUUGAGGUGCAACCCAAAUUUUUUCCUUAAAUAUCUCCGAAAUGCAAGAAGGGCUCGACCUGGCUCCACUCCCUGAAAAAAGUUAUUGGUAGUGGGGACUCAAGAGCCAAGAGACGACGAAGUCCGGCAGUUUGCUGGUAAAUAGUAGAGAGUGCAAAUCGUGUGCCCUGAGAGACCCGGGAGUUUCGCGGCCUUAGUGUUCUGCAACAGUAUGGCAGAAAGGAGCGCAAAAGAAGUGCGUUAUUAUUUACGUGAACGUGAGCCUCAAAAUUUUCACGAGGCUUCUCAGAAUGAAAAGGAUGGAGAAGAAGUGGAAAAACAUUUUUUCGACACUCAGGAUGCCAACGAAGAUUAAACUAUAUUUUUCUGAAAGGAUUGGAGUAUGCAGUAGCAGUAGAGACCCUGGGGAGUAUCCAUGAAUUUUUCAGAUUUUUAAAAAGCCAUAAAGAAAACCAGGACAGGACAUAAAAGACCGAGCGGUUCCGCAGAAGCAGUCAAAAAAAUGGGCUCCGUGGAGGGUUAAUUAUGGUCUGUGGUGGGGUAUUUUUGACACUUCACUCCAAUAUAACACCAACCUAAAUUAAUACAACAAAAAUUCAGCAG